CGCUGUGUUUGAGAGCCAACAAAACUCAACCUCUGCCCCGCCGUCCUCCUCCCUGGUGCUCCCAGCGGGGAAAUACAUCUACCUCAUUGCCUCUUGUUCCAGACGCCUCUGUAAUUCUGAGCAGCAUACACAGCGUCUCAGAUGCUGAAGCCCCGAAUCGGGCUGUUCCUGGGUUUCUAACUCCCUCCUGUGGAUUUGCUGCUGUGACCUUCUGAACGACCUUGCCCAGACUCUGCUGCUUGUUAACGCUUUACCAGGUGGAACCACACCGAUCCGUAGGGUCACGCAUGCAGCGGUGCCCCGGGAGGAACAGGGUCUCAGCCUUCCAAAUCCAGGAUUUACGUGUUUAACUUUUCUCACAGUGAAACAUCCUGUACGGUUCUGGUGUUUCCUCUGCCGUUUGCAAUUUCUUAGAUGGAUGGCGGUAACUAGGUAACUGUCAAGAAAAAAAACAGCGACUCGUUUAUUGCUUCAAAAUAUGCAACCAAAGCCAAGAGUACGAAAUGCGUUCUUAAGAUGAAUAGGUCAGUUAAGUUGUGCUUCCCAACUCGAUAAGGGCUAUAAUUAAUUUUUUUAAAGUUGUGCUACAGUGCUCUUACGCACUUACGCGAGCGUAGACUUUGAGCGCAUAAAAUGCGUCAGUGGCCUUGCCAGAUGACAAGGAUGAAUCGUGAGCAACAACAGAGAAAGGUGCAUAUCUUCGUGAAGCUCAGGGUCCAGUGGGACGGGCCGGCGUUGGUGACGUCAUCGAGGGAUGAGAUGUCACACUGACUGUGACAGGCCACACGGAAAAGAAUGCCUGGGUCAGCGGUGGCUUUUCGGAGUGAUCCGGGAGGUCACGCCUGUGGGGAUCUCCUUUUAGAAGCUUCGAGUUUCAUCUCGCGUUGGAUUCUCCUGCUUUAUUUCCCACUGGGCCUCUCCAGCAGAUGCCUGUCUGCAGUCUUGGAGGAAUGGAAACGACUGUCCUUCCAGUUACGCAGCUAACACAUACGUACGGGGAAAAUUCAGGUGACGCAGAAAAUCAAAGAGAAGAAAUUAAAAAUCGUUAAAAAAAAAACUUGCCGCCGCUGUUACGGUUCGCUAAACCUCCUUUCCCCAUCUCUCUUUGUGCAAGCACAGACCUACUCUUUUAAACCUUGUUAAAGAACAAUUGACAAAUGCAAUUGUAUAUAUUUAGUGUGCAGUGUGGUGACUGGAUAUACAUGUCCGCUGGGAGGGAUUGCCAAGACCAAAAGAAUGAGCACAUCCAUCACCUCACCUCGCUGACGUGUGUGUGAGUGUGCGUGUAAGUGGUGUGGACACGUAAGGUCUACGCCCAGCAAUUUCCAGUAUAUGAUACCGAAUUAUUAGCCAUGAUCCCCACGCUGUACACUAGGUCCUCAGAACUUCUUCUUCCGACUGAACAUUUGUAUCCUUUUAACUGUAGCUCCCCAUUUAUGCUCCUUCCCACCCCUGAAACCACGAUUCGGUUCUGUUUCUGUGACCUUUUUUCUUGAUUCCACAUGUAAGUGAUAUCAUACAGCCUUUGCCUUUCUCUGUCUGGCUUAUUUCAUGUAG
rnacentral:lncRNA from 1 species